AUUGAACGCUGGCGGCAGGCCUAACACAUGCAAGUCGAACGAGUGGCGGACGGGUGAGUAAUGUCUGGGAAACUGCCCGAUGGAGGGGGUUAACUACUGGAAACGGUAGCUAAUACCGCAUACCAUCGGAUGUGCCCAGAUGGGAUUAGCUAGUAGGUGGGGUAACGGCUCACCUAGGCGACGAUCCCUAGCUGGUCUGAGAGGAUGACCAGCCACACUGGAACUGAGACACGGUCCAGACCACUACGGGAGGCAGCAGUGGGGAAUAUUGCACAAUGGGCGCAAGCCUGAGGCAGCCAUGCCGGGUGUAUGAAGAAGGCCGUCGGGUUGUAAAGUACUUUCAGCGAGGAGGCGUUACUCACAGAAGAAGCACCGGCUAACUCAGUGCCAGCAGCCGCGGUAAUAC
rnacentral:rRNA from 1 species